rnacentral:rRNA from 1 species
GACGAACGCUGGCGGCGUGCUUAACACAUGCAAGUCGAACGGAAAGGCCCUGCUUUUGUGGGGUGCUCGAGUGGCGAACGGGUGAGUAACACGUGAGUAACCUGCCCUUGACUUUGGGAUAACUUCAGGAAACUGGGGCUAAUACCGGAUAGGAGCUCCUGCUGCAUGGUGGGGGUUGGAAAGUUUCGGCGGUUGGGGAUGGACUCGCGGCUUAUCAGCUUGUUGGUGGGGUAGUGGCUUACCAAGGCUUUGACGGGUAGCCGGCCUGAGAGGGUGACCGGCCACAUUGGGACUGAGAUACGGCCCAGACUCCUACGGGAGGCAGGAGUGGGGAAUAUUGCACAAUGGGCGGAAGCCUGAUGCAGCAACGCCGCGUGCGGGAUGACGGGCUGCGGGUUGUAAACCGCAUCCGCCUGUGACGAAGCGUGAGUGACGGUAAUGGGUAAAGAAGCACCGGCUAACUACGUG